GUGAAUCAUCGAAUUUUUGAACGCAAAUUGCGCCUUUUUCGGAAGGCAUGUCUGUUUGAGGGCACCAUUUAACAAAUAAUGUGCACCGUUUUGUGUGUGCACACGUUGAUGAGCUUUCUAGGAAAAAUUUUUUUUUUUUUUUUUUUUUGUUGCUUUUAAUUACCCCCCCCAAACCUUUUUUUUCCUUUCCUUU
rnacentral:misc_RNA from 1 species